AGAAGGAGAAAAAGAAUCCGUAUCUCUGGACCAAGGAAGAUUGGAAGAGGGAGACAGGGACUUUCUUCUCUACCUCAUCACCCUGAGCAUCAAGGAAAAUUAAAUAGAAAUAGCAAAAGUGCCUCCAAGUAAUUUAGAUUUGCGACCAUCCAAACUCACUGCUUUAGACAUCAUCUACUCCGGCUGCCGAUGAGGAAACCAAGGCCUAGCGAGAGAAAUGGACUCGCUCACGGUCACCCAACAAAUGAGCAGCUGACCUCAAGCCAGAACUGUGAUCUUCUGAACAGAACAAAACUGGACGCCUCCUAUGUCCCAGGGAGAACAGGAUGAAGAGACGGGAGGAGUGCCUGAAAGAUGCCAUUUCACAUCUAAUCGCUUCUUGUCACGUUGUAACCAUUUUCCUCAUAUGGAGCCCCACGCUGAUGGAUCAGAAAUAACAUUUUCAAAGUUAUAUCUGCAAGGAAAUGGCUAUUAAUGUUCUCCCUCUCCUUUUAGAGCACUGAGGAAUACAUAUUAAUUUUCUCUCUACUUAUAUUGCCUAUUUGCAAAUUGUAUUCACUACCCAGUGCUCCAAUUUGUCCUACCCCUGAAGAGAUUAUGAUGAAUAAAUGUGUUCCUGGAAAUAAAAUAAAAUAAAAUAAAAU